AUCGUUUCUCGUCAUUUUGGCUCUGAUCAUACGUAGUGUCUAUUUUUAUCAGUUUAAUAUCUGAUAGUCUCCAGAUCGGAGACCAUAUAUUAAUUUGAUUUUUGAAAGAAGGAUACGGAGCUUGCUGUGUGCUCUACAUGAACCAUCCUGGUAUUUCAGUGUGUCCAGGCUUGGUGUACCUUCC
rnacentral:snRNA from 1 species